rnacentral:rRNA from 1 species
GCUUACGGCCAUACCCGCCUGGGUACGCCCGAUCUCGUCUGAUCUCGGAAGCUAAGCAGGGUCGGGCCUGGUUAGUACUUGGAUGGGACACCGCCUGGGAAUACCAGGUGCUGUAAGCA